UACGUAGGGACCGAGCGUUGUCCGGAAUCAUUGGGCGUAAAGAGCGUGUAGGCGGCCACUUAAGUCCUGCGUGAAAUCUUGCGGCUCAACCGCAAGCGGUCGUGGGAAACUGGGUGGCUAGAGUCCGGAAGAGGAGAGUGGAAUUCCCGGUGUAGCGGUGAAAUGCGCAGAUAUCGGGAAGAACACCCGUGGCGAAGGCGGCUCUCUGGGACGGUACUGACGCUGAGACGCGAAAGCGUGGGGAGCGAACAGG
rnacentral:rRNA from 1 species